rnacentral:pre_miRNA from 1 species
AUUAUACUCGCUCCGUCCCAAAAUUCUUGUCUUAGAUUUGUCUAGAUACGGAUGUAUCUAAUACUAAAACGUGACUUGAUACAUCCGUAUUUAGACAAAUGUAAGACAAGAAUUUUGGGACGGAGGGAGUAUGUA